rnacentral:lncRNA from 1 species
GCUUCCCAGCUGGCUGAGCACUGGUUUAUAGACUUCUGUGUACAAAUUUAGCCAGCAGCAAACCUCACAUCUUUAAUAUAAAAGGUGUUUUGUUGUGUUUUUCAGGUGCUGAGUGGAAAGCCCACACUCCAGAAGCUCAUUAAAAGGGCCAAGUUACAGUACAGGUUUAUUUCUGUCACAGCGUUUCUGAAAACAGUGACAAGGAUUAAUAUGUUUCUUUAGUACUGGAAAAAGCCUGACACAAUCCCUUGUGAAUUUGAUCAUCUGUUUCAUUGCCUGUAGAAGAUUCAGCUUCCUAUUAUAUCUGAAAGUUACAGCUGUAAACUACUACUGGGAAAUAAUAUCAAUAGGAAUUAAAAGCCAGAAAGUACUGUCUCCAUAUCAUUUUAAAAUGCUAUGAUAAUUUUGUAAAAGGAGCUUAAUAUUAUAAGAAUGGGAAAAAUGUUGGAAAUUCUAAGCGUGACCCUCUUUUGUUGUCUUGACAUUCAAACCAGUGAGUAGGAUACACGCUGUAAGGUACUGAGGAGGAGCUGCCCUGAGUUCAAACAACCUCUGAAAGUUAAAAAUAAGUUAAUGAUUGAUUGUCUAUGAAUAAAGAAUGUUGCUGAUCACAGUGUUUUGUGAAGACACUGAAUAAAGUG